rnacentral:tRNA from 1 species
CGCUUCUAUAGGAUAACAGUUUAUCCAUUGGUCUUAGGAACCAAAAAUUCUUGGUGCAAAUCCAAGUAGCAGCU